ensembl:lncRNA
GCUGUAUUUACUGAACAUAUUACACAGUUAAGGUAUUGGUUUACAAAGAUAACAGAUGCUGAAGUUGCAACUGAUCCCACAAAAUUCAGAAAAAGAUUCUGAUUCUUUUGCAGAUUGUAGCUUUUAUUUGAGUAGCAGUAAAGACUGGGUUUAUUUCAAACACUAAUUUUGUUAAAAAGAAAUGCAAGAUAGGAAUGCAUAUUAAACUUAUUAAACUAAUACCUCAAUAACUUUUGAGGAUAUUGCCUUAUAGAACUGUAUCACCUGAAAUGUUCCUGUCUCUGAGACAUCAAAUUAGACGUGUUUUGGUGCACAGUGCUCGUGGUACUAGUGUAUGUAUGUGGUACCACAGAUUUAUGAUAUGCCAGAAUAAAGGUAAAGCUGCUUAAAACCGCAUUAAUCAUCUAGUUAUGCACACAGCAAUGCAUAUCCCCUGUGGGAGAUAUGUAUAAUAUCUUUGUGUAAUAUAGGACACUCAUGUUUUGCAGACUUCAGACCAUCAGAGAAAUGCUAGAACUGGAAUUCUACAAUGAAAUAUUCCCAAAGAGACGAGAACUUCCAAACCUGGUUUUUUACUUGUAUGAAGAAGUGCUCAUGGGCCCAGAAGGCAGAAGUACUCAUUUAAUUGCUAAAUUCAGGUUUAUAUGUGGAACAGAGGAGUAGACUUGAAAUCAAAACUCUGGAUCCAGACACUGCUGGUAGGGAAAUUCAGACCUUUUGCAGAUAUAGCUACAUGCAUACAACACAUUCUCUCAUGAAUUUAUGCUCAGAUUAUAGGUAUUUACUUGAAGCUUCAAUUACUGGACUAUUGCACUCUCAUUUCCUGUAAGAGUUAGACACUGUCAGACUUUGAAAUGAAACUGUUUCAUGGAAGAUUUAUUACAUUUCUUAUCCUGUGCAUGCCCACUGACAUCAAGCAAUUCUGAGUGUCAGACAGUAGGACUCUGAGUUCUGCUUAAAAACUGUGGGCAAUUUAGUUCCACAGUUGAUCCCAUCUAAAGCAAACCAUGGCAUUAUAACAAAUGAAACAACAACAAAAACAACAACAAAAAACAGCUGUUAUCAAUGGCUGAAGCACAGUUUUGUACCAGACUGUUUACCAAACGAACUGUCCAUCAAUUAGUGGACUAGUCAGUAUCUCCAUUUGGCAACUACUAUUUUCUCCUUUCUCUUCUGUAUGAUACCUUUGUGUAAAGAGAACAUUUGCUCCAGGAGAAGCAGGAUCAUUUCCUUCUUACAUUCUGGGACUGAAGACUGCAUCCCCCAACUCCCAGAAGCCUGUGGCAGACAUCAGGCUGUUCAGCAUGUAGAUAGUGACUUUCCACUCUUCCUGGUGAAAUGAUGAUGGCAUAGCAAACACAACAAGAUUCAGGACAAGCAAGAAAAAGUACAAGAAGUUGAUCUUGUAGGUCAGUGAUAUCGGUAAUUCCCAAGCACAGAGAAGACCUAUCUGCUAGACUCUGGUCCUGGCCCACUGGAGUGAGAAAUAAAAGCAAGAAACAAUCCUGACAUUCACCAGUUUCUUUGUUGAGUUGGAGAGCUGAGCCUGUUUAUUUUAGACGUGCAACUUCUUAUUUAGGAAUUUCAGCCUCCUGACAAAUGCUACUGCUUCCAUGCAAUCAUUACUUCAUUGUUUCAUGGCUACAGGUGCACAAACACUGCCAUGCAACAGCAGUAACUACUCAGCUCUGGCAUGAGGCAACAAGUACUCUGUCAGUCAGCUCCUGGACAUGAUCCAGAGGAUGGUACAUGGCAGGGUUGGACCCCAAUAGUCAGGAUUGACUAGGUCACCCAUUUUUUUUUAGGGGAAGAGAGGUUAGCCAUAGCUGCCACAUUUGCUCUCAGACUGGCAACUCGGCCCAACGCUACACCCCUUCGCACAGCUCUAGCCUAUGAGACCAAAAAGGGGAGUCCUAUCUUGAACAAACAAGAAGCCUCUGUUGUUUAGGUCUGCUAAAGGCAGCAGACUGAUAAAUACAGAACAGAUGCAAUAAAAAAGAGUGAAAGCUAUCUCAAAUUAUCCUCUAUACUGACAAUCAUAAAGAAAACUAUAUGGAAUUGAACUGUACAUCAACAUACUGAUAAGUAUUUCAGGACCAUGCCUCAGGACUCCUGUAGCUAAGGGUAAAAGGAGAUUUGUCACCCACACAUACAACUCACAUGUGUAACAAUUGUGACAGAAUGUAAUUAUUACAUUUACUUUGGAAAGAAAAGUCAAUUUACUCUGUUGUUAAAAAAAAAAAAAAAAAAGUAAAAUUAAUGAAGAUGUAAUCCUGGUAAUUGCAGAAAUUGGUGAGAAUUCUGAGUUCACUAGGCUACUAAAUUAGAUUAAUCUCCUCAAAAUAUAUUACACUGAAAUAUCUAAUUUCUAUGCAUUUAUGAACAUGUGUUCUAUGGUAUAAUUCUGUUUAAUCUUCAGAGGCCUCUCAGAGGCCUCUAAAUUUAAUCUUAGGCAAAAUGGCAAAGUUUUGCCUGAGUAAAGAAUGCCAAAUAAAGCCCUAAAAAGGGAUUGCUAGGAUCAGAAUUACUUGUUGUUUCCAGCUGCUUUGUUCUGUACUGGUAUUGUAAAGAUGCCAUGAAUUCAGCUUAAUUGGAGAGUUAAGCUAGGUUUACAGCUGUUUUUUUUCUUAUUUGAAGAAGUGCAAAGCAGCUGAACAUUCCAGUGAGUAUGGGCUUUCAUCUGAAUGACAUUUACAUUAGAAAAUCUCCAAAAAAACAGCAUCUAGUCCCAGCUUCCCAUAUUCUUGUAGAAGUCUAAAUGUUUUCUCUUUCUCCUAAUGGUUCUUUUCUAGGACACUUUUCUCUUGCAUUUGUGUUACGACUCAUUGUGUGCAUUAGUUUUGUUAUAAUUGUAUCUGUGAUGAUGCAAGAGGUGUCAAUUUCUGCAUGAAAAAUACAUUUUUCUUAGCUUUGUGGUAGGUAAGUUAGGCUAUGUAAACUCAGGUAGAUAGCCUACUGUGCUUCAAUGUACAUUUCUGUUGUAACAAUAUGCUCACACACUAGUUUGAGUAGAUGAAGAAAACUCGAUAUGGUUUCUCUUCUUCUCAGACAAUAUAGUUAUUCUUAUGCUAAGGUUCCAAUGCAGUUUCUUUCAGCAGGGAGCAGCGUCUUGCCUCUGUGCAAGGCAGCAACUACAGCUGCUGUCUUUUAAUUUUAUUAACCUGAAGUGUUACACUCUCACUGUUUCUUUUUGUGUCAAGCACUGUUUGAAGAAAGUAUGCUUGCUCUGUAAGGGAAGAAAAAGCCUGUAUCAGCAGUGGAUUAUUUACAAAACUGUGGUCAGUUACAUUUAUUUAAGCAUUACUUACUGGUGUUACUUUAUAUUCAUGAAGUAUAUACAAUAUCUUUCACUCUGCAAAUUACCACUACAAUUAAUCAAAUUUGAAUCUGCAAAUGUUAUCAAAUGAUUCUAAGCUAACAGAAGAUUUUUUUGCUCAGUAGAUCAUUUAUGUUUGAAGUCUCUUUCUAUACACCUUAUAGCAGGAUAUGUAAAAAACCCCACGAACACUGCAUUCUCAAGACUGGAUGUUGCAGUCUGGAUGAGCUGAUCCAACUAGAGAUGGCUGAAGAUCCCUCUGGACUGCAUGCCUCCUUGGAAAGCACAUCUGAAGAUGAGCAUAUCACUCCUAGAAUUUGAAAGACAUUUGAACAUGAAAUUGAAUGGGUCUGCCUCAGUAAAUAUAGGAGCAUAACAUAUAUAAUCAAAAAAUCUAAAAAUGACACAACAAAAGUUACAGGAACGCAAUCAAAAUUUCAACCACGCCUGAAUUAUCCUACAUUCAAAAGAAAGAAUACACAGGUGUAAUAGGAUACUCAGCAUGUAUACCUCCAACCACUAAGAUCAAGCCUAUCAACUACAUUAUAGAAGAGUUUACUUUUGCUGAAUUGUUAUGUUCUGUUUUAGAGGUAUCUUUUCAUCACUGAAGAACACAUCAAAAGAUUUUAGUCUUUGACAUUCUUAUCCAGGAUACGUUUCACAGUCUUUCAUCAGCCACUGAAACUGGAUUAGCACCAGAAAAUGUUUAACACACACUCUAUGAGCAAAGAAGAGACCAAGGGGCCUUUGGCUUGCAAAGAAUCUAUAAAAUGUGAUUAUUAAUUUCAAGGUAUCACACAUUUAAAAUAGAGCUCUUCAGCAUUCUUUAUAACUAAAAUAAUGAAUUGAUGAAGAGCUGAUGAAGAGCCUGCCAGAAGAUAAUGUCAGAAUCCAGAAACAAAAUAGCUCACUUAACAACUGAGAUGGGCUCAUAAAAACCUCAGAACAGAAAUGAAACCCUGAUUUUCAAUUUAAUUUCUGAACACCACACUUGCUUCAAUUUACAAUGUAUUAGAGGAGUGGGUAAAAUUAAUCUUUAAAAUCCUCCAUCCCAUUACAGAAAUGGAAAAUAAAACGCUUACUGGUUUAUAGUUCAGUGGUGAUGGAUGCACGCUAGGCCUCUUCUUAGUAUGUACUGAGCUGUUUUCAAGAAAUGCAUAUAAUCUGGAAGCAAAGCUGACAAAACUAUGUUACUGAAAUUGCCUUGAUGCAAACACUGCAAAGGCUGUUUGUUUACUUGAAGAAGUCAGAGCUGGGUGGUGGAGUUUUAACUACUAAAUUUUCCAGUUCUCAUCAUCAGCAUUAGAUGGUGUAUUUAGUUCUAAAACACAGUUAAAUGUUCCUGGAAAUCUCGGACGAUCCUGUGCUGCAGCUGAAGCCACGAAACACAUCCAGCUCACAAAAUGAGAUACUCCGUGCUUGAAAAUUACAAUUUUUAAAAAGUGAAAUCCUUAAAAUUCUUGAAAUAUUGUCUGUUGAAAUUCUUGGAAAUAUUUGUUUGAAAAGAAUGUAGCUGCAUGUAGAAAAUGUUUGCAAAACUGCUAUAAUUUUGAGCUAGCAACACAUGCCAAUGUAUCAAUAUUGCACACAAUUAUUUUUUAUGAGAAGGCCAUACGAACAUGAUAAAGUUAACAAUUUCAGUGUUUCAAGAAUUAAUUUAAAAUACAUUUUGCAAGGUUCUUUUAGCUAUUUAUACAUUUUUUUCAUCACAGCGUUACAUCGGAACAUUAAAGAUUCUAUCAGAAAGGUAAGAAAGGAAAACAGUUGUGCAAAAUCAGAACAUAAUGUGAGUUUACGGUUGCUCUGUGAUUCACUGUAACGCAUUAUUAAUCCAUAUGUUAGUACAAAUAAAAUAUUUUGAAAAUUGUGAUUUUA